rnacentral:rRNA from 1 species
UACGUAGGGGGCAAGCGUUGUCCGGAGUUAUUGGGCGUAAAGCGCACGUAGGCGGUCUGUCAAGUUCGGAGUGACAGUCAUCGGCUUAACCGAUGAAGUGCUUCGAAAACUGGCCGACUUGAGGACUUCAGAGGGAGACGGAAUUCCGGGUGGGGCGGUGAAAUGCGUAGAGAUCCGGAGGAACACCAAAGGCGUAGGCAG